rnacentral:rRNA from 1 species
GAAUAUUGCACAAUGGGCGAAAGCCUGAUGCAGCGACGCCGCGUGCGGGAUGAAGGCCUUCGGGUUGUAAACCGCUUUUAAUUGGGAGCAAGCGAGAGUGAGUGUACCUUUUGAAUAAGCACCGGCUAACUACGUGCCAGCAGCCGCGGUAAUACGUAGGGUGCAAGCGUUAUCCGGAAUUAUUGGGCGUAAAGAGCUCGUAGGCGGUUUGUCACGCCUGGUGUGAAAGUCCAUCGCUUAACGGUGGAUCUGCGCCGGGUACGGGCAGGCUAGAGUGCAGUAGGGGAGAUUGGAAUUCCCGGUGUAACGGUGGAAUGUGUAGAUAUCGGGAAGAACACCAAUGGCGAAGGCAGAUCUCUGGGCUGUUACUGACGCUGAGGAGCGAAAGCAUGGGGAGCGAACAGGAUUAGAUACCCUGGUAGUCCAUGCCGUAAACGGUGGAUGCUGGAUGUGGGACCCUUCCACGGGUUCCGCGUCGGAGCUAACGCGUUAAGCAUCCCGCCUGGGAGUACGGCCGCAAGGCUAAAACUCUAAAG